rnacentral:rRNA from 1 species
AACGAACGCUGGCGGCAGGCUUAACACAUGCAAGUCGAACGCAUCCUUCGGGGUGAGUGGGACGGGUGAGUAACGCGUGGGAACGUGCCCUUCAGUUCGGGAUAACCCAGGGAAACUUGGGCUAAUACCGGAUACGUGCGAGAGCAGAAAGAUUUAUCGCUGAAGGAUCGGCCCGCGGCUGAUUAGGUUGUUGGUGGGGUAAUGGCCCACCAAGGCGACGAUCGGUAGCUGGUCUGGGAGGUUGAUCAGCCACAUUGGGACUGAGACAGGGCCCAAGCUCCUACGGGAGGCAGCAGUGGGGAAUAUUGGACAAUGGGCGCAAGCCUGAUCCAGCCAUGCCGCGUGAGUGAUGAAGGCCUUAGGGUUGUAAAGCUCUUUCGUCCGGGACGACAAUGACGGUACCGGAAGAAGAAGCCCCGGCUAACGUCGUGCAAGCCGCCGCGGUAA